UUUGGGGACAGGAGAGGGGAGGAGAGCAAAGGGAGUGAUUCUGAGGCAAGCCUAGAGGAAGAGGGAGAGGAGAAAAGUGAAGAGAGUGAUGGGGAAGGAGAGGAGGGAGAGAGUGGUUCUGGGACAAGUGGAGAGGGGGAAGAGGAGGAUAAGAGUGAAGAAGAGUCCACUGAUGAAGAGAGUGGGGAUGAAAACAAAGAGGACAAGGAGGAGGGUGGUGAUGAAUCAGGAAGUGAGGCUGAGAGCAAGAGUGAGGGAUCAGCAGAAGAGGAGGAAGAUGAACAAGCAGAAGAAGCAGAGAGUGAAGAAAGUAAAGCUACUGAGUCAGGAGAGGAGGAAGGAGAGGGAGAGAGUGGAACAGAUGAGGAAGGAGAGGGAGAGGAUAAGGAAGGUUGUGAAAGUGAAGAAGAGGAGGAGGAGGCAAGUGUAAGUGAGGAGGAGGGAGAAGAGGAUGACGAUGAGGAAAAUGGAGCAGAAAGUGGAGAAGGUGAGGGCAAUGUAGGAGAAGAGGAAGAGGAAGCGGUUGAGGGUGAGGAAGAAGAGGAUGAAAAUGAAGGUGAAGAGGAGAACGGUGAAGUCGAAGAGGGUGAGGAGGAAGAGGAGGGAGGAGAGGAAGAUGAGGAAGAGGAGGAAGAUGCUAGUGGAGAGGAGGAACUUGAAGAUGAAAAAUGUGAGGAAGAGGAGGGAGAAGAAGAAGAUGAGGGGGAAGAAGAAGAUGAUAAAGGAGAAGGGGAAGAGGGAGAAGGGGAAGAGGAGGAAGAUGGUGAAAAACAGGAAGAUGAGAAAGAGGAAAUAGAAGUGAGAGAGGAGGAAGCGAACAAACAAGAAGAGGAAAGGGAGAAGCAAGAGGAGGAAGAGGAGGAAGAAGAAAAAGAUAGACAGGAAGUAGGUGGAAAAGACACAGAGGGAGAGGAGGGUGGAAAAAGGGGGGAGGAGAAGGGAGAUGAAAAAGAAUGGAAAGAAAAUAAAGAAAUUGAUGGUGAAUUAGAAGAAGAAGCUGCAGGGGAACAGAAAGGGGAGAUGGAGGUGGAGGAAACAGGAGAGGAAGAAGAUGAAGAGGAAGGAGAAGAAGAGGAGGAAGAAAGAUAUAUUAAAGAAGAACAAGUUGAGGAAGAAGAGGAUGAGAAAGAUAGUAAAGAAGGAGAAGAGGGGGAGGAGGAAGAAGAUGAGGAGGGAGAGGAAGAGGAGGAAGAACAGGAAGAAGAGGAGGAAGAGAUAAAACCUGCAAAGGGGAAAAAGAAAGGCUCACAAAGCGUACCACCUAAAGCAACUCCCCCCAGCAGGAAAGGGAUUGAAGAUCCCCCGAGGGAGAAACCCAAACCAGCAGCCCGUACCAAACAGAGGACCACAGGGGGAAAACAGGCCAAAAGUACCCAAGAAUCCCAACAGUUCUGGAAUAAUGUCUUACCCCAGUACCUGGAGCUGAAGUGA
rnacentral:lncRNA from 1 species